ensembl:lncRNA MUC20-OT1 MUC20 overlapping transcript
CACCGCUGCAAGAGGGGAAGUUGCUACUGUGAUGAAUUCUGCCAUGUGGCACCAGACUGCCACCCAGACCACAGUGUCCUCUGCAACCCUGGUAACUCACAUACAGGCCCGAUUCCACCUACAGCAAAGCUGGAUGCGAUGGCUGGCAGAGGCAAACCCUUUGCCUGCACUUCAGGCCAAAGCCGGGAUGUGGCCUAGAUGGUUCCUAAGGUCCCUGACAAUCCUGAGAUCUUGCAUCUUGUCUAUUUCAGGUCAAAGCUUCUCAGAUGACCAAGAUGGUGCUGCAGAUGGUGCUGAGGAUGGAGAACCCACCAAGCCCCGCUAGGAGCCACCUAGACUGGAUGCAGAGCAUGGACAAUUUGCUGAGGUCUGGGAGCACCCCCUCCAUAGAGUCCCUGAUCUCUCAAAACUUGGUCGUGAUCUAAAGUUUAUUUGAUGUACAACUCCCCCUCUCCUUCUUUUGGAGUUUUAUUUGCUUCCAAGAAGGAAGGCAAGAUUUCCUGGGUCCGUGAUGAUGGAAGGCUGACAACUCUUUUAUGGAGUUUGAGCUUGCUCCCAGCAGGGAAGACAAGUUCGAGUUUUUUUCCUGCUUCAAGGAUGGUAGAGAGCAGUCUUCAGCCUGAGACCCAUCCCUAGGUGAAAAUGGAGGUUUCCUCCUCCUGCGGCUGAGUGUGGCUUCCCCGGAAGACCUCACUGACCCCAGAGUGGCAGAAAGGCUGAUGCAGCAGCUCCACCGGGAACUCCACGCCCACGCGCCUCACUUCCAGGUCUCCUU